UACGUAGGGACCAAGCGUUGUUCGGAUUUACUGGGCGUAAAGGGCGCGUAGGCGGCAAUUCAAGUCAGCUGUGAAAUCUCCGGGCUUAACUCGGAACGGUCAGCUGAUACUGCUUUGCUAGAGUGCAGAAGGGGCAAUCGGAAUUCUCGGUGUAGCGGUGAAAUGCGUAGAUAUCGAGAGGAACACCUGAGGCGAAGGCGGGUUGCUGGGCUGACACUGACGCUGAUGCGCGAAAGCCAGGGUAGCAAACGGG
rnacentral:rRNA from 1 species